GACGAACGCUGGCGGCGUGCCUAAUACAUGCAAGUCGAGCGGAACUGGGGGAGCUUGCUCCUUCCAGUUUAGCGGCGGACGGGUGAGUAACACGUGGGCAACCUGCCCUGCAGAUCGGGAUAACUCCGGGAAACCGGUGCUAAUACCGAAUAGUUUGGCGCCUCUCCUGAGGCGCCACGGAAAGACGGUUUCGGCUGUCACUGCAGGAUGGGCCCGCGGCGCAUUAGCUAGUUGGUGGGGUAACGGCCCACCAAGGCGACGAUGCGUAGCCGACCUGAGAGGGUGACCGGCCACACGGGGACUGAGACACGGCCCAGACUCCUACGGGAGGCAGCAGUAGGGAAUCUUCCGCAAUGGACGCAAGUCUGACGGAACAACGCCGCGUGAGUGACGAAGGUUUUCGGAUCGUAAAACUCUGUUGUGAGGGAAGAACACGUACCAACUAACUAUUGGUACCUUGACGGUACCUCACCAGAAAGCCACGGCUAACUACGUGCCAGCCGCCGCAGUAA
rnacentral:rRNA from 1 species